AGUGAACGCUGGCGGUAGGCCUAACACAUGCAAGUCGAACGGCAGCACAGUAAGAGCUUGCUCUUACGGGUGGCGAGUGGCGGACGGGUGAGGAAUACAUCGGAAUCUACUUUUUCGUGGGGGAUAACGUAGGGAAACUUACGCUAAUACCGCAUACGACCUACGGGUGAAAGCAGGGGAUCUUCGGACCUUGCGCGAUUGAAUGAGCCGAUGUCGGAUUAGCUAGUUGGCGGGGUAAAGGCCCACCAAGGCGACGAUCCGUAGCUGGUCUGAGAGGAUGAUCGGCCACACUGGAACUGAGACACGGUCCAGACUCCUACGGGAGGCAGCAGUGGGGAAUAUUGGACAAUGGGCGCAAGCCUGAUCCAGCCAUACCGCGUGGGUGAAGAAGGCCUUCGGGUUGUAAAACCCUUUUGUUGGGAAAGAAAAGCAGCAGGUUAAUACCCCGCUGUUCUGACGGUACCCAAAGAGUAAGCACCGGCUAACUUCGUG
rnacentral:rRNA from 1 species